rnacentral:rRNA from 1 species
CAGUCGCCGCGGGAAUACGAAGGUCCCGAGCGUUGUUCGGAAUCACUGGGCGUAAAGGGAGCGUAGGCGGCGUGGUAAGUCAGAUGUAAAAUCCCGGGGCUCAACCCCGGAACUGCAUCCGAUACUGCCAUGCUAGAGGAUUGGAGAGGUAGCUGGAAUUCUUGGUGUAGCAGUGAAAUGCGUGGAGAUCAAGAGGAACACUCGUGGCGAAAGCGAGCUACUGGACAAUAACUGACGCUGAGGCUCGAAGGCCAGGGUAGCGAAAGGGAUUAGAUACCCCAGUAGUCCCUGUCUCUUAUAC